AAGCGAAGCUCUUGAUCGCCGCCCCGGUAACCGGCGGCGG
rnacentral:rRNA from 1 species